GUCAUGCAUGGAUACAUUGUUAAUAUAUAAGCUCUAUAGUAAGAAAAGAAAGGAACAUUAAUGCGUGUUGUGAGGUUUGGAAAUUUCGUGAUAUUACAUUCAAGGGCUGGGUCUUAAUAUCAAAAUCAUUGAUUGUAUCGACGGUAAAAAUUGGAAUCUAAAUGCGAGGAAUACCUGAAAGAUAAGAAAAAAAUAAACAAAAUCAUGUAAAAAU
rnacentral:lncRNA from 1 species